rnacentral:rRNA from 1 species
CCGAGCCAUUGCUAUGGGGUCCGACUAGCCAUGCGAGUCAUGGGGGUGUCCCUUCUGGGACACCACCGGCGGACGGCUCAGUAACACGUCGGUAACCUACCCUCGGGAGGGGGAUAACCCCGGGAAACUGGGGCUAAUCCCCCAUAGGUGUGGGGUACUGGAAGGUCCCCACACCGAAAGGGGCCUCGUGCCCGCCCGAGGAUGGGCCGGCGGCCGAUUAGGUAGUUGGUGGGGUAACGGCCCACCAAGCCGAAGAUCGGUACGGGCCAUGAGAGUGGGAGCCCGGAGAUGGACACUGAGACACGGGUCCAGGCCCUACGGGGCGCAGCAGGCGCGAAACCUCCGCAAUGCGGGAAACCGCGACGGGGGGACCCCCAGUGCCGUGGCAACGCCACGGCUUUUCCGGAGUGUAAAAAGCUCCGGGAAUAAGGGCUGGGCAAGGCCGGUGGCAGCCGCCGCGGUAAUACCGGCGGCCCGAGUGGUGGCCGCUAUUAUUGGGCCUAAAGCGUCCGUAGCCGGGCCCGUAAGUCCCUGGCGAAAUCCCACGGCUCAACCGUGGGGCUUGCUGGGGAUACUGCGGGCCUUGGGACCGGGAGAGGCGGGGGGUACCCCUGGGGUAGGGGUGAAAUCCUAUAAUCCCAGGGGGACCGCCAGUGGCGAAGGCGCCCCGCUGGAACGGGUCCGACGGUGAGGGACGAAGGCCAGGGGAGCGAACCGGAUUAGAUACCCGGGUAGUCCUGGCUGUAAAGGAUGCGGGCUAGGUGUCGGGCGAGCUCCGAGCUCGCCCGGUGCCGUAGGGAAGCCGUUAAGCCCGCCGCCUGGGGAGUACGGCCGCAAGGCUGAAACUUAAAGGAAUUGGCGGGGGAGCACUACAAGGGGUGG